rnacentral:misc_RNA from 1 species
AAUAUAUCAAACCCUCUUCUCUUGUUGAGUGGUUUGGAUGUGGGGGGUUCUCUUUGCUGGCCUCUCAAGGUUCAGCUCCCCUGAAAUGCAUUAGCAGAACGACCUGUUCAUUCAUUGGCGUGAUAACUAUCUACGCCAUUGAACCUGAGGCAGUUCAGCUUCCUAACGGUCCUUGGACAAUUUACCAUUUU